UUUUAUUACAACAGCAAUUUUAUAAUAUUUUGAUAUUCAGUAUAGUAAUAUAAUAAUAUAUUGUUGUUGUUAUUGUUUUAUUUUUAUAUGCCACCCCUCUGACUGGGCAGCUCCCAACAGAAAAUAUCAACAACACAAUAAGUACAGUAUCAAACACGGAAAAGCUUUCCUGAACCUUCAGAUGCCUUUUAAAAAUCACCCAGCUGUUUAUCUCCUUGACAUCUGAUGCACAAACAGCUAAAAGCAGUUUGCAGCAAAAAAGUGGAAAGCGCAUUUUUGCUGUAAUUGUGAUAUUUAGCUUAUUUUUUAAUUGCUGUUUUGCUUAUUGUUUAGUUUGUUAAUAGUUUUUUUAUAUUUUAUAAUUGCUUUAUUGUUGAUGUGUUAAUUAUUUUACUUGAUUUAUGCUGUAUUUGUGAUGUUAAAUUAUACAGCGGUAUAUAAAUAUUUUUAUUGUAGAAUUAUAGAGUUGCAUUUCUCAACACCUGACCUCCAUCUAAUUUGAAACCAUACCAGGCCCUGCUUAAGCUUUGCAGAUGUGCUAGCAAUUUUAUUGCUGCACCACUAGGAGGAGAGAACACAUAAAAAUGAAUAAAUAAGGAAACGAAGAGACUUGAUGAACCAAUCCAUCUUUUAGUCUUAUUUUGUUUCCAUCAGUUGCAGGGUGGAUUUGAUUUAAAUUACAAUUUAAAUCCCUAGUCAAUAAAACUUGAUUUAAAUCA